rnacentral:rRNA from 1 species
CAAUAGCGUAUAUUAAAGUUGUUGCAGUUAAAAAGCUCGUAGUUGGAUUUCUGGUGGGAGCGAUCGGUCUGGCGCUUAGCGCGAGUACUUGCAUCGUCUCCGGCCAUCCUUGGGGAGAGUCUGUCUGGCAUUAAGUUGUCGGGCAGAGGAUCCUCAUCGUUUACUGUGAAAAAACUAGAGUGUUCAAAGCAGGCUUAUGCCGUUGAAUAUAUUAGCAUGGAAUAAUAAGAUAGGACUUUGGUACUAUUUUGUUGGUUUGCGCACCAAAGUAAUGAUUAAUAGGGACAGUUGGGGGUAUUCGUAUUCCGUUGUCAGAGGUGAAAUUCUUGGAUUUACGGAAGACGAACUACUGCGAAAGCAUUUACCAAGGAUGUUUUCAUUAA